GACGAACGCUGGCGGCGUGCUUAACACAUGCAAGUCAGGGGGCGGCGCAAGCCGUCACCGGCGAACGGGUGCGUAACACGUGAGCGACCUACCCUGGUGUGGGGGAUAGCCGGCCCAACGGGCCGGGUAAUACCGCAUACGCCUUCGGCUUGGACGCCGAGAGGGAAGCCUUCGGGGCACUAGGAGGGGCUCGCGGCCUAUCAGCUAGUUGGCGGGGUAACGGCCCACCAAGGCGAUGACGGGUAGCNGGUCUGAGAGGAUGGCCAGCCACAUUGGGACUGAGAGACGGCCCAGACUCCUACGGGAGGCAGCAGUGGGGAAUCUUGCGCAAUGGCCGAAAGGCUGACGCAGCGACGCCGCGUGAGGGAUGACGGCC
rnacentral:rRNA from 1 species